rnacentral:rRNA from 1 species
GAUGAACGCUAGCUACAGGCUUAACACAUGCAAGUCGAGGGGAAACGACAUCGAAAGCUUGCUUUUGAUGGGCGUCGACCGGCGCACGGGUGAGUAACGCGUAUCCAACCUGCCCAUCACUUGGGAAUAACCUUGCGAAAGUAAGACUAAUACCCACUGAUAUCCCACGAAGGCAUCGGAAUGGGAUUAAAGAUUUAUCGGUGAUGGAUGGGGAUGCGUCUGAUUAGCUUGUUGGCGGGGUAACGGCCCACCAAGGCACCGAUCAGUAGGUGUGUGGAGAGGAAGGUCCACCACAACGGAACCACGACCCGGACCAAACUGCUACGGGAGGGAGCAGUGAGGAGUAUUGGUCAAUGGGCGAGGGCCUGACCCAGCCAAGUAGCGUGCAGGAAGACGGCCCUAUGGGUUGUAAACUGCUUUUAUAAGAGAAUAAAGUGGGUCACGUGUGACUUUUUGCAUGUACCUUAUGAAUAAGGACCGGCUAAUUCCGUG